rnacentral:misc_RNA from 1 species
AACUUCCACCUGGCAUACCUCUUCAUUUAUGCGUCAUGACUUGUAUCGUCUUGAGCGUAUUGUGGGUUUCCUGUGUUGCAUACCUAACUAAUGGUAUUGUUUUGAUUGAUCGAAGUCCCUUUUCGUCUUGUGUUGCCUUUGCGACGCACGAUGAACCUUGAAGCGGUCUCUAUGUUCCACCAUGUUGAUGCUAGUGUUUUGAUGUUGUGGCCCAUUGAGUGUUGCUUGGUUUCGUGGAUACAGAACAUGAUUUGGGCAUAGGGUCACUCGUGACUCUUGUUAUGUCCUUUAUCAGUGUUCUUUAUAACGACGGUUCAUGCGCGCCUAGGCUCAUACCUGCGCGAUGUUCUUUGUCGAAGAGGAAUGCUACCUGGUUGAUCCUGCCAGUAGUCAUAUGCUUGUCUCAAAGAUUAAGCCAUGCAUGUGUAAG